UGGGGAAUAUUGCACAAUGGGCGCAAGCCUGAUGCAGCCAUGCCGCGUGUAUGAAGAAGGCCUUCGGGUUGUAAAGUACUUUCAGUCGGGAGGAAGGUGGUAAGGUUAAUAACCUUAUCAAUUGACGUUACCGACAGAAGAAGCGCCGGCUAACUCCGUGCCAGCAGCCGCGGUAAUACGGAGGGUGCAAGCGUUAAUCGGAAUUACUGGGCGUAAAGCGCACGCAGGCGGUUGAUUGAGUCAGAUGUGAAAUCCCCGGGCUUAACCCGGGAAUUGCAUCUGAUACUGGUCAGCUAGAGUCUUGUAGAGUGGGGUAGAAUUCCAUGUGUAGCGGUGAAAUGCGUAGAGAUGUGGAGGAAUACCGGUGGCGAAGGCGGCCCCCUGGACAAAGACUGACGCUCAGGUGCGAAAGCGUGGGGAGCAAACAGG
rnacentral:rRNA from 1 species